AGUGAACGCUGGCGGUAGGCCUAACACAUGCAAGUCGAACGGCAGCACAGUAAGAGCUUGCUCUUACGGGUGGCGAGUGGCGGACGGGUGAGGAAUACAUCGGAAUCUACUUUUUCGUGGGGGUUAACGUAGGGAAACUUACGCUAAUACCGCAUACGACCUACGGGUGAAAGCAGGGGAUCUUCGGACCUUGCGCGAUUGAAUGAGCCGAUGUCGGAUUAGCUAGUUGGCGGGGUAAAGGCCCACCAAGGCGACGAUCCGUAGCUGGUCUGAGAGGAUGAUCAGCCACACUGGAACUGAGACACGGUCCAGACGCCUACGGGAGGCAGCAGUGGGGAAUAUUAGACAAUGGGCGCAAGCCUGAUCCAGCCAUACCGCGUGGGUGAAGAAGGCCUUCGGGUUGUAAAGCCCUUUUGUUGGGAAAGAAAAGCAGCAGGUUAAUACCCCGCUGUUCUGACGGUACCCAAAGAAUAAGCACCGGCUAACUUCGUG
rnacentral:rRNA from 1 species